rnacentral:rRNA from 1 species
GUAUUUUGACUAUACAAAGGUAUUGUAAUAAGACUUUAAUUGAGUGCUAAAAGAAUGGAGUUUCAAAAAAAGUCUAUCUUGAAUUCAAAAAUUGAAUUUAUUUUUAUUUGUGAAGAAACAAUAAUUAAAAUUAAGGACAAGAAGACCCUAAGAAUUUUUAAUUUUGUAUAUAUAUAUUUAUAUAUACAAAAUUUUAAUUGGGGCGAUUAAAAAAUAUAGUUAACUUUUAAUUUAAAAAAUG